UGGGGAAUCUUCCGCAAUGGACGAAAGUCUGACGGAGCAACGCCGCGUGAGUGAUGACGGCCUUCGGGUUGUAAAGCUCUGUUAAUCGGGACGAAUGGUUCUUGUGCGAAUAGUGCAAGGAUUUGACGGUACCGGAAUAGAAAGCCACGGCUAACUACGUGCCAGCAGCCGCGGUAAUACGUAGGUGGCAAGCGUUGUCCGGAAUUAUUGGGCGUAAAGCGCGCGCAGGCGGAUUGGUCAGUCUGUCUUAAAAGUUCGGGGCUUAACCCCGUGAUGGGAUGGAAACUGCCAAUCUAGAGUAUCGGAGAGGAAAGUGGAAUUCCUAGUGUAGCGGUGAUAUGCGUAGAUAUUAGGAAGAACACCAGUGGCGAAGGCGACUUUCUGGACGAAAACUGACGCUGAGGCGCGAAAGCCAGGGGAGCGAACGGG
rnacentral:rRNA from 1 species